AAUUUAAUGCAAAAGUCUUAACAUAAAUACUUAAAAAAUUUAGAUGAGAAAAAGAGGAUCAGUCACUAGUGAUAAAGAGGGAAAAAUCAUCAUCAUCUAGAAGAAUAGAAAGCUGCUUGAACCUAAAGGCUAUUGGAAUUCAAUCCCAAACGGCUUCUGAUCGCGGUCUCUUUCAAAAUCAGCACCGCAUUCUUGAUCAAGAGAGUGGCGCGGUAAAGUUUAUCAGCCUCUCAAUCUCUAAUAGACUUAGGGGAACACCUUCAAUUAGAAAGGAAGACUUUAGCCUUAAAAAUACCGAUGCCUUAAGACAUGCAUGAACCUCUCCCACCAAGCAGCAACAAUUUCUAAACCCAAGAAACCUGCAAAACCAACACAACUUCAACACACCAGCUCUCUUGGAAACCGAUCUCUUGCAUUUCUCCCUCUCUGAGAUCAACAAAAACAAACCUAAAACAUCAAAGGGGAAGGAAACCCAUGUCCCAGCCAGAGUUAAAUAGGAAGUUUUUCCCUACUUAAGGAUAGAAGAAGCUAGCUAGAAGCCACGAUUUGCAAGCUUGAGAAAAAGCUGAAACUCUAAGAAUAGUUUAAGAGAAAAAUCUCUCUCUAAAAAGAUAGAGAGAGAUUCAAUUGGUAUUUUCCUUGCUCACCAUUCAAAGCAAAGCAAAAUUGACCUUAAAAUCUUUGAGUUAAGUUCUCUGUUUCCUCAAAAGUUUGUGGUUCUCCAAAGUCCAUAACAGUCUUCUUUGUAAUGAUCCUGUAAGUUUGAUUGUUUGUAAUCAAAUAUUAAAAGAAUAGUUUGAUUGCUUGUCAUUACCAGCAUAGACCAAAAAGUGGCAUUCUUAAUUUUACUAAUGAGCAUUAUAGUGUACCUCAAAUUGCAUCAGCCUAAGAAAAGAGCUUCAAAAGAAGAAGUUGGCAUUCACAGCCACGUCAAUUACAGAACCAUGUCUGUUGAUAAGAAACUGUAGAUAAUCAUAUCUCUGAUUUCACCUUUACAAUACCCAUAUUUCCUUAACAAACCUUCUUUCAAGAACCCUACUUUCUCAAGUACCCUUUGAGACCCAUUAUUCUCUACCUCAACAAGGGCUUCAAGCCGGACCAAAUCAGGAAAGUCUUUAAACACACUUGACACUGCAAUCUUCAAUGCAGUUGUGGCUAUCCCUUGUCCCCAGUAUUCUGUGGCUACUGCAUAGCCAACAUGAGCUCUGCAUCCACCAUCCCCAGAUUCUGGCCUAAUGGAUACGUAUCCGAUUGAAAGAUCAUCCAAACAUAUGGACCGACGCCAAGGAUGGGGCAUGGCAACCUUUUCAAUAUAUUUUAAAGCUUCUUCCCUGGAGGUCAUGGUGUUCCAUCUUAGAUAUCGAGUUACUCUAUCAUCACUGGCCCAUUUCAGGAACUCAUCAACAUCGGAAAGCUUAAAGGGACGGAGGGAAAUUCUUGCAGGAUCCAUAAGUAUAGGCAAUAAAGCAACGUUAAUAGGAAAAGAAAUAGAAAAGAUGGAUAGGGAAAAUUUGUUGCUGAG
rnacentral:misc_RNA from 1 species